rnacentral:rRNA from 1 species
GUCUACUGCCAUGCCACCCUGAACGUGCCCGAUCUCGUCUGAUCUCAGAAGCUAAGUAGGGUCAGGCCUGGUUAGUACUUGGAUGGGAGAACCUAGGAAUCUCAGAAGUUAAGCAGGGUCAGGCCUGAUAGUAUUUGGAUGGGAGACCACCUAGGAAUAUCAGGUGCUGUAGGCG